ACCAUCAGAAAGACUCAAACCAAAUUAUCAUAUUAUGAAUGAUAAUUUCAUUAGUCAAUAAGCACCAGGCCUUUGAGCCUCCAAUGAUUAUUAAACUAAUGGACUCAUUAUCACUCACUUAAUGGGAGGCUAUGACUUAGUUAUCAAUAUAACUUAAUCAUUUUUAAGGACCUAAUAAUUUUUGAGGAUUUUAUUAAAGGAUAGAUGGGAAGAAAAUAUCCAGCCAAUUUCAAUCCUCCCACUGACUUCACUAAGUCAGAUUAAAAAGGAUUUAAUUAAAGCUGGCAUUAGGAGCACCUAAAUCAGUCAAACUAAUUUACCUAAUGACAUGGGUGAGCCCUAAUCACCAAGUGAUCUAAUCAAAACCUAAUUCACCAGGUUGGCCAAGUAAGUGAGAUCAGUGGUGGGGAUAAGCCAUUAACUCGUCAGAGAUCAAAUCACUGCGAGUAGCUCCCACUUAAAAACCACUAGUCAAACUGCCAAACUUACCUUAGACACCAACCGGUUCAUUAGUUUUAAUUUGAUCAACUUAGUAAAUAGGGUUCCACCGCGUAGCCAUGAAUUAAGUCCAUCUUGGUCUAGUUAAAGACAUGGACCCAUUCAACUAUAACUAUUGGAGUUGAGUCUAG
rnacentral:lncRNA from 1 species